UAAAGAGAUGAAGAGUAGAAACAACAAGAAUCAGGAAGAAAAAGGAGAAAGAACAUACCUAAGGUCAAUACACAAAAUUCCCCCUUCUCCAUCGCGCCAGAAUCCUCAGGUCUUCAAAUCAUGUUUGUUUCGUGAUUCAAUCAUAUACGCUUCGGGCUACAAUUCCCUUUCAAAGCUAGAAUCCGCGAGUUCUUCAGACUUAGGGCAUCACACUCAUUCUCCGUCGCUUGUUCUCCAUGAGAGAUUAGUGAUAUAUUCAGGUUCAGGAAGGGAUUUCAGGUCAGGUUCAUGUUUAGGAGGGAGUCGAAUGGAGGAGGCGAUGACACCAUGA